GACGAACGCUGGCGGCAGGCCUAACACAUGCAAGUCGAGCGGAGCGGCGGACGGGUGAGUAAUGCCUAGGAAUCUGCCUGGUAGUGGGGGCUAACGUACGGAUAAGGGCGGUAAUACCGCAUACUAUCAGAUGAGACUAGGGCGGAUUAGCGAGUUGGUGGGGUAAAGGACUACAAAGGGGACGGACCGUAACUGGUCUGAGAGGAGGAUCAGUAAAACUGGAACUGAGCCACGGUCCAGACUCCUACGGGAGGCAGCAGUGGGGAAGAUUGGACAAUGGGCGAAAGCCGGAUCCAGCCAUGCCGCGUGUGUGAAGAAGGUCUUCGGAUUGUAAAGCACUUUAAGUUGGGAGGCGUUACCAACAGAAUAAGCACCGGCUAACUUCGUGCCAGCAGCCGCGGUAAUAC
rnacentral:rRNA from 1 species